rnacentral:lncRNA from 1 species
CUUGUGAGAACUUUUGAUGGCUCUGACAAACCCUGACCUUUCAUGGCCAUUUUUGUCUCCAGCUCCUUCAUGUCCAGGCCUUGUGUUUUGGCUGGCACAGUGGCACUCUUGCUCUUUGCAGUGAUAACAGGGUUUUUCGGGGUGACUCUGGGGACAACCGGGAACUUGGUCUCCUCAUCAGACAAGGGAGACCCCCAGUCAUCAGAGUCUGUUUCCUUCAUGGCCGGCAUUUUGUUGUCCAUUUUGCAGUCCAUCUCUAGCAUCUUCUUCUGCAGGAUGCUCUGGAGUGUGGCCUGGCUGGCUGAGAGGGAGGAGAGGGCCUGGGUGGGAGGCUGCUUGGGUUUGAUCUGAACAGGCAGUUUGGGUUUGAUCUCCAUGAUAGGAGGUGGGAAUUUGGGAGGGCUUGGGGAUUUAGGUUUUGGAGGUGAGGACAGGACUGGAAGGACAGGGCUGAGAGUGGGGGGCAGAACCAUCUUCAAUGGAGGGUCAGGUGGAGGUGAGCGGGGAGGAGAGUCCACGACAUCAUGGUCAUCGAAUUCGGGAGGGGGAGGGAGUAAUUGCAUGCAUAGGUUCUCUUCAUCACUGACGAGGCUAGAGGGUGAAGGAAUCCUCUGCUCUCCACUUUGCUUCUCCACGGCUAGACUGCUGGAGGAUGAGGAUCUAGAGGUGGGCCGAUUCCUCUGAACUACUGGAUUUGCAAUUGGCCCCUUCACCACUGACUCAAUAAUCUGGGGUUUUGCUGGAGUCUGGAUUACCACUGUGGCCUCCAGUGGGACCACAGACUGUGGUUUAUGUUGUGAAGUUACAGAAGUGAAUGAGGUGGCCCUAGGGAUGACGGUGAAAGAAUUGGGAUUGAAUUCACUGUGCUGGAUGCUGGCUAAUGGCUCAGUACUCUUCAUGCUGUUUUCAAGGGAAAGACUGGACCUGUCCUUCUCUCGCUCUUUAGCCGCCAUGAGAAGAGCCAGCGGGGAAGCGGCAGGACCGUCCCUCAUCCCAGUGACAUCACUGGCCUUCAGGGUGCGUAGUUUACUGUCCAGCAUAGGACUGAACUUGUUGUUCUGACCUGGAGACGCUUCCUGCUUGACCUGGCUAGCCUCUGUGUUUACAGGGGCAGUGACCACCUUCUGAAGCUUGGGUGCUGAAAAAGGCAAAGGCUCCACUUCCUCCCAAGUCUCGGGUGGGGUGGGUUUGCCUGGAAGGGUGGCUUGCAAGUUUUCCUUUAAGCCCUGCAGGUCUUGCUCCAGCUGCAUACCCAAGCUAUUUCUCUGGGCUGGCUUACCUGGUGGUGCCACAGAGGAGGGGUCUUUCCCAUUGACCUGGAGGAGUAGGAUCUGCUUGGGCCUAUUGUCACGGUCCACCUGCCUGCCUAGAAUGCCAGGCUUAGGAACACUGUAGAGCUUAGCUGUGUUCUGGGGCUUGAAGCUGGAGGGUGUCGGGGUCUGUACUGGGGAAGCUUGGGCUGGAACCUGGGAGGGUUCGUCCAUGCUGUGGAUGGAGGACAGCCUUGUUGGCUUUAGAGGCGGGGUCUUCAGGGCUUUCAGAGCAGCUUGCCUCAUGUCUAUAGGGGGCUGUGGAGGCGUGAACUUUGGGGGCUCAGUAAAAUCAGGGACUGGUGUUGGUGUAGAAAUGGAGAAAGAUGAACUAGAAGCACUGGAGGAAGUUGACGGGGGCUUCGGGGGGGGCAUUAGUGGAGGUUUCAGGGAGGUGAAAUCCUCGUAGUCUUUAGACAGAACCACUGAUGGUGGUUUUGGAGGGGGCAUGGAGGGAGGCUGAAUGGAGUCCAAGUCACCCAAGAAAUCUGGUGGGGGAGGGAUGAACAUGGGUGG